CUGGAACAAACGCCCUCACGGGUGCUACCCAGAAACCCUUUGUGAACUUACUUAAUGUUGCCUCGGCAUUGGUUGGCUUCGAAUGAAGUCCCUUGCAAAAGGAGCAGACCGGCCGACGGCCCCUUAAACUCUUGUUUUUGUAUUAUCUUCUGAGUAACAACUAUAAAUGAAUCA
rnacentral:misc_RNA from 1 species